GCGUGACCUAAUACAUGCCAAGUCGAGCGAGCUUGCCUAGAUGAUUUUAGUGCUUGACACUAAAUGAAACUAGAUACAAGCGAGCGGCGGACGGGUGAGUAACACGUGGGUAACCUGCCCAAGAGACUGGGAUAACACCUGGAAACAGAUGCUAAUACCGGAUAACAACACUAGACGCAUGUCUAGAGUUUGAAAGAUGGUUCUGCUAUCACUCUUGGAUGGACCUGCGGUGCAUUAGCUAGUUGGUAAGGUAACGGCUUACCAAGGCAAUGAUGCAUAGCCGAGUUGAGAGACUGAUCGGCCACAUUGGGACUGAGACACGGCCCAAACUCCUACGGGAGGCAGCAGUAGGGAAUCUUCCACAAUGGACGAAAGUCUGAUGGAGCAACGCCGCGUGAGUGAAGAAGGGUUUCGGCUCGUAAAGCUCUGUCAGCAGGGAAGAAAAUGACGGUACCUGAGUAAGAAGCCCCGGCUAACUACGUGCC
rnacentral:rRNA from 1 species